UGAUGACAAAUCUCCGGAAUCUCUGUAUUCACUUGAUGAAAACUUUGAACCCUUUUCUGAUGACUGCUUCAGU
rnacentral:snoRNA from 1 species